rnacentral:rRNA from 1 species
GACGAACGCUGGCGGCGUGCUUAACACAUGCAAGUCGAACGGAAAGGCCCUGCUUUUGUGGGGUGCUCGAGUGGCGAACGGGUGAGUAACACGUGAGUAACCUGCCCUUGACUUUGGGAUAACUUCAGGAAACUGGGGCUAAUACCGGAUAGGAGCUCCUGCUGCAUGGUGGGGGUUGGAAAGUUUCGGCGGUUGGGGAUGGACUCGCGGCUUAUCAGCUUGUUGGUGGGGUAGUGGCUUACCAAGGCUUUGACGGGUAGCCGGCCUGAGAGGGUGACCGGCCACAUGGGGACUGAGAUACGGCCCAGACUCCUACGGGAGGCAGCAGUGGGGAGUAUUGCACAAUGGGCGGAAGCCUGAGGCAGCAACGCCGCGUGCGGGAUGACGGCCUUCGGGUUGUAAACCGCUUUCGCCUGUGACGAAGCGGGAGUGACGGUAAUGGGUAAAGAAGCACCGGCUAACUACGUG